AUGCUCGCUUUGGCAGCACAUAUACUAACAUUGAAAUGAUACAGAGAAAAUUAGUGUGGUCCCUGCACAAGGAUAACACACAAAUUCAUGAAGUGUUCCAUAUUUUU